GUGGCUUCCGGAGCUAACGCGUUAAGUAGACCGCCUGGGGAGUACGGCCGCAAGGUUAAAACUCAAAUGAAUUGACGGGGGCCCGCACAAGCGGUGGAGCAUGUGGUUUAAUUCGAUGCAACGCGAAGAACCUUACCUGGUCUUGACAUCCACAGAAGAAUCCAGAGAUGGAUUUGUGCCUUCGGGAACUGUGAGACAGGUGCUGCAUGGCUGUCGUCAGCUCGUGUUGUGAAAUGUUGGGUUAAGUCCCGCAACGAGCGCAACCCUUAUCCUUUGUUGCCAGCGGUCCGGCCGGGAACUCAAAGGAGACUGCCAGUGAUAAACUGGAGGAAGGUGGGGAUGACGUCAAGUCAUCAUGGCCCUUACGACCAGGGCUACACACGUGCUACAAUGGCGCAUACAAAGAGAAGCGACCUCGCGAGAGCAAGCGGACCUCAUAAAGUGCGUCGUAGUCCGGAUUGGAGUCUGCAACUCGACUCCAUGAAGUCGGAAUCGCUAGUAAUCGUGGAUCAGAAUGCCACGGUGAAUACGUUCCCGGGCCUUGUACACACCGCCCGUCACACCAUGGGAGUGGGUUGCAAAAGAAGUAGGUAGCUUAACCUUCGGGAGGGCGCUUACCACUUUGUGAUUCAUGACUGGGGUGAAGUCGUAACAAGGUAACCGUAGGGGAACCUGC
rnacentral:rRNA from 2 species